rnacentral:rRNA from 1 species
GACGAACGCUUGCGGCGUGCCUAAUACAUGCAAGUAGGCCGCAGUUGCGAACGGGUGAGUAACACUUAGGUCACUACCUAUUAGCGGGGGAUAACUAUUGGAAACGAUAGCUAAUACCGCAUACUCGUAGAUCGACCUGCGUUGUAUUAGCUAGUAGGUAGGGUAAUGGCCUACCUAGGAAACGAUACAUAGCCGAACUGGGAGGGGGAUCGGCGAAAAUGGGAAUGAGAAAAGGACCAGUAUGCCACGGGAGGCAGCAGGAGGGAAGCUUCGGAAAGGGGGGGAACCCUGACCGAGCAACGGCGUGUGAGGGAAGAAGGUUGUAGGAUCGUGAAGUUCUGUUGUUAAGGAAGCGGUACUUAACCAGAAAGGGACGGCUAACUAAGUGUCAGCAGCCGCGGUAGUAC